UGCCCCAUGGUCAAAUGGUUAAGACGUCGCCCUCUCAAGGCGGAGUUCUGGGUUCGAUUCCCAGUGGGGUGA
rnacentral:tRNA from 1 species